UACGUAGGUGGCAAGCGUUGUCCGGAUUUACUGGGUGUAAAGGGCGUGUAGCCGGGCUGACAAGUCAGAUGUGAAAUCCGGGGGCCCAACCCCCGAACUGCAUUUGAAACUGUUGGUCUUGAGUAUCGGAGAGGCAGGCGGAAUUCCUAGUGUAGCGGUGAAAUGCGUAGAUAUUAGGAGGAACACCAGUGGCGAAGGCGGCUUUCUGGACUGAAACUGACGCUGAGGCACGAAAGCGUGGGGAGCGAACAGG
rnacentral:rRNA from 1 species